CAGUCGCCGCGGUAAUACGUAGGUGGCAAGCGUUGUCCGGAAUUAUUGGGCGUAAAGGGCUCGCAGGCGGUUUCUUAAGUCUGAUGUGAAAGCCCCCGGCUCAACCGGGGAGGGUCAUUGGAAACUGGGAAACUUGGGUGCAGAAGAGGAGAGUGGAAUUCCACGUGUAGCGGUGAAAUGCGUAGAGAUGUGGAGGAACACCAGUGGCGAAGGCGACUCUCCGGUCUGUAACUGACGCUGAGGAGCGAAAGCGUGGGGAGCGAACAGGAUUAGAUACCCCUGUAGUCCCUGUCUCUUAUAC
rnacentral:rRNA from 1 species